GUGGAGCUGUAGUACACUUUCAGAUGAUGGACUGAGCUGAGCUGUAAGACCUGUUUAAAUCUGGAUACAGCAUCACUAAACGUCUAGACACCACUCCCUAUCUGCACUGGCUUACCAGCCAGAUACUAAGUGUAGUGUCAACAAUUCUUUCUUGCACAUCAGCAUGCUCCAACAGGACAGCAAAGGACACAUACAGAGAAAAAACUACACAAUGUUCUGCCAUUUAGAGCUGUCUAAAGCGACCCAGCUGUGUGAAUAUCUAAAAGCUAAUGUCAUCCAUCCUUGAAGUA